AGAUGUCCAUUAAAGGAGUGGAUAAGUUCGCAGACGAUGUGAUUCGGACAAGGAAGAAAGAACUACUCAUGGAAUCACAUACUAGUUCCGUUGGUCAUCAAAAGCAAAGAUCGGACCUGUUGACGGUGUUUAUGAGGUUGAGAGAUGAGAAGGGUGAAGGGUUCACUGACAAGUUCUUGAGGGACAUAUGCGUCAACUUUAUACUGGCAGGGAGAGAUACUUCCUCAGUGGCACUCAGCUGGUUCUUCUGGCUGCUUCAUAUCCAUCCCGAGGUGGAACGCAAUAUUCUUCAAGAACUACGCACCAUAGUAGAAGCAAGAUCAACUAAUGAUAUUAAUGAAACCGAACUGGUUUUCUCGCCGGAAGAGAUGAAGAAGAUGGAUUAUCUUCAUGCUGCACUAUCAGAAGCUCUGAGGUUGUACCCUUCAGUUCCACUGGAUCACAAGGAGGUAAUUAAUUUCG
rnacentral:lncRNA from 1 species